rnacentral:ncRNA from 13 species
UUCUUUCAUGGGGAGGCAAGUUUAAGUACCACCUAAGUAUUAGCCUAUUCAUUACAACCGCUAUGUAUUUCGUACAUUACUGCCAGCCACCAUGAAUAUCGUACA